UACGUAGGUGGCAAGCGUUGUCCGGAUUUACUGGGCGUAAAGAGCGCGCAGGCGGUCGGAUCAGUCGAAUGUGAAAGCCCCCGGCUCAACUGGGGAACGUCAUUCGAUACUGUUCGGCUCGAAGACAGGAGAGGGAAGCGGAAUUUCAGGUGUAGUGGUGAAAUGCGUAGAUAUCUGAAGGAACACCAGUGGCGAAGGCGGCUUUCUGGCCUAUUCUUGACGCUGAGGCGCGAAAGCUAGGGGAGCGAACGGG
rnacentral:rRNA from 1 species